rnacentral:lncRNA from 1 species
GGCACGCGAGUUGCCCUUUAGUCUGCUCUUCUCAAAUCAGAAUCCGUUCAUCCGUCCAGCAACAAGAACUACACUACUCACGAGUUCUUUCAAGGAACAGAGCUCGCGGGCGGCAGUAGUAGACAGCCGUGGUCUUAGCUGAAGAUUCAAGGAGGGAGAUAAGGCGGCAGCAACAGAGGCAGUGAUUGGUAAGCUGCAUGCACCCCUAGCCAGGCUUACGUAGUAGUGCAGUCGAG